AGGUUAAGCACUUAAGGUGUGGAGCCGUAGCGAAAGCGAGUCUUAAAUGGGCGUCCAGUUACCCGACGUAGACCCGAAACCAGGCGACCUAUCCAUGAGCAGGUUGAAGCGAAAGUAAAAUUUCGUGGAGGACCGAACCCACGAGCGUUGAAAAGCUCGGGGAUGACUUGUGGAUAGCGGUGAAAUUCCAAUCGAGCCCGGAGAUAGCUGGUUCUCCCCGAAAUAGCUUUAGGGCUAGCCUCAAGCUUAGAGAAACGGAGGUAGAGCACUGAAUGUCCUAGGGGGUAUUGCACUUACCGAAGACUAUCAAACUCCGAAUGCCGUUUUCUUUUACUUGGGAGUCAGACUGUGGGUGAUAAGAUUCAUAGUCAAAAGGGCAACAGCCCAGAUCGUCAGCUAAGGUCCCUAAAUGUAAGUUAAGUGGUAAAGGAUGUGGAAUUGCACAGACAACCAGGAUGUUGGCUUAGAAGCAGCCACUCAUUUAAAGAGUGCGUAAUAGCUCACUGGUCGAGUGAUUCUGCGCCGAAAAUUUCCGGGGCUAAAACUUACUACCGAAGCUACGGCAUCAUUAUGAUGGGUAGGGGAGCUUUCUAUGUGGCUUGAAGCAUGACCGUAAGGACAUGUGGACUGCAUAGAAGUGAGAAUGUUGGCAUGAGUAGCGAGAUGUGGGUGAGAAUCCCACAGGCCGUAAACCCAAGGUUUCCAGGGGAAGGUUCGUCCGCCCUGGGUUAGUCGGGACCUAAGCCGAGGCCGAAAGGCGUAGGUGAUGGACAACAGGUUGAUAUUCCUGUACCACCAAUAACCGUUUGAGAAAUGGGAUGACACAGUAGGAUAAGCUAACCGCACUGUUGGUUAUGUGCGGGCAAGUAUUGAGGCAGUUCCGAUAGGCAAAUCCGUCGGAAUAAUGCUGGGGUACGAUGCGGAGCGAAAUUUAGUAGCGAAGUAGCUGAUUUCACACUGUCGAGAAAAGUCUCUAUCGAGGUUAAAGGUGCCUGUACCGCAAACCGACACAGGUGGGUGAGGAGAGUAUCCUAAGGCCAGCGAGAGAACUGUUGUUAAGGAACUCGGCAAAAUGACCCCGUAACUUCGGGAGAAGGGGUGCCUUCGAAAGAAGGCCGCAGAGAAUAGGCCCAAGCGACUGUUUACCAAAAACAUAGGUUUCUGCUAAGUCGCAAGACGAUGUAUAGGAGCUGACGCCUGCCCGGUGCUGGAAGGUUAAGGGGAUCUGUUAGAGCAAUCGAAGCAGUGAACUUAAGCCCCAGUAAACGGCGGCCGUAACUAUAACGGUCCUAAGGUAGCGAAAUUCCUUGUCGGGUAAGUUCCGACCCGCACGAAAGGCGUAACGAUUUGGGCACUGUCUCAACAAUAGACUCGGUGAAAUUGUAAUCCCGGUGAAGAUGCCGGGUACCUGCGACAGGACGGAAAGACCCCAUGGAGCUUUACUGUAGCUUGACGUUGGGUCUUGGUACUACAUGUACAGGAUAGGUGGGAGACUAUGAAGCAUGGACGCCAGUCUGUGUGGAGUCAUCCUUGGGAUACCACCCUUGUAGUACUGGGAUCCUAACCAUAGGCCUUGAAUCAGGUCUUGGAACACCGUCAGGUGGGCAGUUUGACUGGGGCGGUCGCCUCCUAAAAAGUAACGGAGGCGCUCAAAGGUUUCCUCAGCACGGUCGGAAAUCGUGCGAAGAGUGUAAAGGCAAAAGGAAGCUUGAUUGCAAGACAUACAGGUCGAGCAAGGACGAAAGUCGGACUUAGUGAUCCGGUGGUACCGCAUGGAAGGGCCAUCGCUCAACGGAUAAAAGCUACCCUGGGGAUAACAGGCUUAUC
rnacentral:rRNA from 1 species